UAUGGGAAAGUAUAAGGGUUAGUUUGCAGAAUCUGUCAGAUCCGAAAGGAAGCAGCAGGGGUAAAUUUAAUCUUGUAUACUUUCCCUGUUUU
rnacentral:SRP_RNA from 1 species